rnacentral:lncRNA from 1 species
CGAGACAUUUUACCAAGAGCUAUUUGCUGUAUCAAAAUAAAAUGAACAAAAAAAAAAUUGGUUGCUAUUUGGUGUGCUUGGCCGAGAGUUUUCUCAUUGAUUGGUGUGUUUGAUUGCUUCAUUUAGAGCCUCUUUUUCAUCUCCAAUACAGAAUAUUUUGGUUUGAGGUUUGCCAAAAUUAUUUCCAGCAUUAAUUCGGUCUUGCUCUUCAUGUAUGCGUAGCAUGUUGAUGUGAUUUUGCUCCUUAGUUGUGUUAAUUUUUCUUUGUUGUCUUGCUCAUUUUGUGCCACUGUUUUGACUCCAUUUUCUUGCUGCUUUGUCUUCAUAAAAUCAUUAGAUUGCUGCCUCCUUAUUUUGUGCCAAGUUUCUUGAUUUUUUAGGUUCCAUUUUCAUCAUUUGUAUUGUAGUUUUCAUUCAUUCUUUGGCUUCUACCACGUGAUGUCUUGAUUUGGCUUCUUUGCAUUGAAGGUGGAUUGUACAUCUUUCCAUUUGCUUUGGACUUGAUUUGGUGCUCUCAAAGUGGACUUGUGAGACGCUUUACUAUUUUGAGCUUUCUUUCUUGUUGUAUUGAGUGAAAUCGUGGGCUGCUGAUUUUCCGUGGAUUGUACUGCUGUUUUGCCUUGAUUUGUGACUG